GGGCCAGGGUGGGCGGCAGGACCGGGCCGGUGACAAGGUGGACCCAAUCAGGAGGCUCCGAAGUGCGACAUGAAUGUGGUGUUCUUACGUAAGAGGAGGGUGAUGGGAGAGGAAGGGAUGGGCUCGGGGCUGGGGUUUCCACUGAUCGGCAGCCCGGCUCUCUGCCGCCGCCCGCUUCUGGGCUUUCUUGGCUGGGGCUGCUCCUGACAGAAGGGACGCAUGUUGUCGGGGGCGGGGGGGGGGCUUGGCAUGUGUGUGUGUGUGUGUGUGUGUGUGCAUGUGUGAGUAAGUGUGUGUGUUUAAAAUACAAAAAAAAAAAAAAAAAAAAAAAAAGCGUGGCUACACCCAGCUGCAAGAGGCUGGCCGGGCUCCGUCCGUGCCAGUUGCCUCUGAGCUGGCACUGUGGGGACAGGAGGAGGGAGAGGUGAGGAGCCGCUGCGAGCGAGCGAGCGGAAGAUGGACGCUUGCCAUGGACGCGCGGCAGGCUGGGCGCCUCCUGGGUGCCGCGGACUCACGGGGGGCAAAACUCACAGACAAAAACCACAGCGAAUCGCUGGCGCCCAUCCCGGGGAGGCGGCAGCCGCUUGGCAGCGGAGCCACGGAGGACCCGGCUGGCAGCAGUUGGACAGUGGCGGCCGGCGAGACACAGGUCCUUUCCCUCCCGCUGCCAUUUGCCAAGCCCAGCCCCUCUGAAGAGAUGCACUUGAGCAGAGACUUGAAAGAGGUGAGGGAAGGAGCUGAGUAGCCAUCUGGAGGAAGGCGCCUAAGAGGCAAUGUAGCAUGUGCAAAGGGCCUGUACAGAUGGAGCCUGGCAUAUAUGCAGACCCGAGGACACAGACAAUGGGGUGCCUUCCUCUCCGGCAGCCAGCCGGCAGACGGCUCCGGAGGAAAAGGCCGCACCCCCCACACAAAGGACUCAGGAGCGAGGCUGCCCCAGCCCCCACCACGGUCUGCAGGGCCUCUGGUGCCAAAGUCAAGCCAUUUCCUUCCGGGAUGACUUCAGGCCCCAAAGCCCCUGGCUGGGAGGUCACUCAGCUCCCUCCCCAGAUAGGAGUGACCUCUGUCAGGUGUCUGGACUCCCCUCCCCCCGGGAGUCCUCCACCUGAAUCUGGGAACUUUACUUCCAGGUGAAGCUGGAGACAGGGAGACAAUGGUCAAGGCGGGUGGAAAGGGAAGAAAAGGGGGAAGUGUCAAGCUCUUGACGGCUACGCUCUAGACUCGGUUCUCCCCAGCAUUUAAAUGCCUGCAGGCGGAUUAAUAAGGUCUCGGUCACAGCAGCAGCAGCCGUCUAUAUUUAAUCUAUCUGCAGCGCCAGUUGGCGGGGCCAUGUGAAUAUUGAUGGCCGGGCGGGAUUGGGGACAGGCAGCAUGGCACCGGCUUUAUCUCCCGGGCGCAGGCGGCCGGGCCCUUAUCAGGCCGGCCCGGCUGCUGCAGCUGCGUCUGCCAGGCCCGCACCCCGCCUCCCCCGCCGCCUGCUUUGUAAUCAGAAGAGAAGAAGUUGCUGCCUUGAUAUUUCCAUUUUUAUCUCUUUUAUUUACUUCAUUUUAAUGUCUUUCAGGGAAUAUUUUCUUUGCAUCAAGGCAAGGCAAGGCUGACGGUUGCUUACAUCCCUCUGCCGCCCCUGCCCCUUGGCCAGGCUGGGACAGGAGAGAAGCGGCGGGGGGUGGGGGGCUUCCCGUCCCACCUCUGCCCUCCUGGCCUCCAGUCUCGCCCUUCUCCCAUUCCCAGCUGCCUCUCUCCCUCUGCCUUUUGCUUCCCUCCUUUUGUGGGUUCCUUCCCAAGUGAUUCACACCCUCCAGAUCCAAGACCCCCUUUCGGCCCAUCUCCACCCCUCGCCCAGAUCUUGGAUUCCCAGCCCAGCCUUGAUGGGGAGGGAUUAAUGACAAGGAACCUGAACCCACAGCCCUGGAGGAGGAUCCUGGGCGCCUGCUCUCAAGAGGAGCCUGUCAGGGUCAAGGACAGGUGAGUUCAAGCCUCCAUCCCUCCAGCAUCCCUCCAGCACCAACCACCUCCUCGGAUCUGGAUGGGGGAGCCCUGUUUAUCUCCCUUCCCCAGAUGAGGAAGUUGAAGUUCCGAGAGGUUAUCAGUCACAGUCACUUUGCUCCGAGCUGGCAACUCGUGACGGAGAGAGGAAUUGCAGGGCCGGGCUCCAUCCGGCACGGGUCUGACACCGAGGGGGCUCUGCCUGCAACUGCUCGCCGAGCCUGCGUCUCCUCCCUCAGGUGUGAGUCUGGGGGGUCGUAUCCCUGUGACUCCAUGAACGGAAACAGCGUGGAAGCAGCUCGCUGUGAGGGCCCACCCUCUGAGUGCUGAGUGUCAUCAAUGCCCCUGUAUUGGAUUGAACAGUUUCCCCCAAAGACAUGGCCGUGUCCUUGUUUGGAGAAAGGGUCUUUGCAGACGUGAUGAACAGCACCAGGGCACCCCACCGUCCUCACCUGGCGGAGAGCCCCUCGAGGGAUGGAUGGCAUCCUGACCCACACCAAAGCCGCAGGGACAAGUCUAGAGCCUGCCCCGGAGAAGGUGCUCGGUGACAGUGCAGCUGAAGGUGCAAAGGAAGCCAAGGGUGGGAAUCAGCGCUGAGCAAGGAGAGCGCUGGCAACGGGAGCUGAGCUCAGGACACCUGAGACAGCAGGACAGCAUGCUGCCCCCUGAGUGCACAUGCACCCACACCUCCGGCUCCUCACAGCUGAGCAGCCUCCUUCCGAGGGGGCGGGAGGAAGGGGGGCGCUCUCCAUCCACAUGGAUAUUUUUGUGAGUGGGAUAUAAAUUUUGGGGAGUAAUUUGCUCUGGCAGCAAGUCCAGCCUGCCUUAACACAGUGGCCCUGCCCUGGCACUUAGCGUGUCCACGUUUGUGGGAGUGGAACCGCAUCCUGGGGACUUGCAUCUUCGUCGUAAACAGUGUGACAACCAGAGGCUGCCCCCGGAAGGGCUUGGGAUGGAAAUGGCUCCAGUUUAUCUGAAAAGCAGAAAGCAGAGAGCCUGUGGGGAGGGCGGCCGCCUGCCAUUUGGGACGUGUUAUUUUCCAGAUUUCACGCUGAAGAACAGAAAGGCUGGGCUGGUGGGAUCGAUGCGGUUUCUGUCACUAAGAAGAGAAAGGUCAAGGCUGGAAAUGCUGCAUCGUGCUGCAUCGCCUCGUCACCGGGAGCCCCAGAGCCUCCUGUCACAGUCUCUGCCUGCAGUGACCGGGCCUCAGGGACUCCACCUGCAAAUACCUCUUGGGUCAACCCAGAAGCUCCACCUCUGGGGCCUGAGUCCAGACCAGGCCCCCAUGGCCACUCACCUGGUUCACCCAAACACCUGGCUCCGGCACUGAGAGAGGAGGCAUUUCUGUUGUCUUUAGCUGCCCAGUUUAUGGUCCUUUGUUACAGCAACCCCAGGACACUCAUACAGUGGGCAAGAGAGCCUAGGCCCAGGCUGCUGAGCACAUGGGAUGGGGGUAGCCACUGGGACAUGAUGAGGAAGACCCAGGGCUGUGGUGGGAGGGAGCGGGGGGAGCAAUGCCCAUAUUGUCACUU